rnacentral:rRNA from 1 species
AUGAACCUGGGGGCCACUGGACACCGUACGGGGCAACACCACCGCCUGCAGCAGCCGCUCCUCUCCUCCUCUCAUCAACGACAAGAACAAGGCGUCCCCGAGGGACCUAAGCAUCGUCAGUGGCAUGUGAUAGAGGAGGAGGUUGGCAAAGGAGUUGGAACAAUGGAGGAGGUGGCCACCGGCACGGGGCAGAGGAGGCGGGUGGGAACUGGGAAGAGCCGAAAAGGAAGGACGGAAGUUGUGGCAGCAGCCGCAGAAGGGGAGAGGAGACGGAGGCGGCACCGGCAAGAGGGGAGGAACGGUGUCGCGGAAACAGGCAUGGGCCCCGCCGCUCUGUCCCCAGCCCGCAUGGCCACAGACGCCUCCCACACCGGUGGCAGCCCAGAGGGGCCUCGGGAGGGGCUGGCCCCGAGGAACGGCAACCCGGCGUGCCCGUCCAUCGAUAGCUGA